rnacentral:rRNA from 1 species
UAAGACGUAGGGGGCGAGCGUUGUCCGGAUUUAUUGGGCGUAAAGCGCGCGUAGGCGGUUCGGUAAGUCGGUGGUGAAAACCCGGGGCUCAACCCCGGGCCGUCCUCCGAUACUGUCGGACUGGAGGCAGGUAGGGGAGAGUGGAAUUCCCGGUGUAGCGGUGAAAUGCGCAGAUAUCGGGAGGAACACCGGUGGCGAAGGCGGCUCUCUGGACCUGUCCUGACGCUCAGGCGCGAAAGCUAGGGGAGCGAACAGGAUUAGAUACCCUGGUAGUCCUAGCCGUAAACGUUGGGUGCUAGGUGUGGGGCGGCGUUUGACCCGCUCUGUGCCGAAGCUAACGCAUUAAGCACCCCGCCUGGGGAGUACGGCCGCAAGGCUA